UCCAGCUUAUCGCCGGCAGUCUCCCUAGAGUUCCCAGCUUUACCUGAUGGCAACUAAGGAUAAAGGUUGCGCUCGUUGCGGGACUUAACCCAACACUUCACAGCACGAGCUGACGACAGCCAUGCAGCACCUGUGUAAUUGUCCCUUGCGGGACGGUGUACUUUCAUACACAUUCAACUACAUGUCAAGCCUAGGUAAGGUUCUUCGCGUAGCCUCGAAUUAAACCACAUGCUCCACCGCUUGUGCGGGUCCCCGUCAAUUUCUUUGAGUUUCAGUCUUGCGACCGUACUCCCCAGGUGGUGGAUUUAAUGCGUUAGCUGCGGCACUAGAGGGAUCGACACCCCUAACACCUAAUCCACAUCGUUUACGGCAAGGACUAC
rnacentral:misc_RNA from 1 species